UACGGAGGGUGCAAGCAUUAAUCGGAUUUAUUGGGCGUAAAGGGCGCGUAGGCGGCUCGGAAAGUCAGAUGUGAAAUCCUGGGGCUCAACCUCAGAACAGCAUUUGAAACUUCCGAACUAGAGGGUAGGCGGAGAAAAUGGAAUUCCACAAGUAGCGGUGAAAUGCGUAGAUAUGUGGAAGAACACCGGUGGCGAAGGCGGUUUUCUAGCUUAUUCCUGACGCUGAGGCGCGAAAAGUAAGGGGAUCAAACAGG
rnacentral:rRNA from 1 species